AGUGUUUUUCCCUAGUUGUUGAAUUCUACAGUUGUGAAGAGCUAUUACUAUUGUCGUUAGCUUGUUAACAUGCUAUUUUAACCAGUUAGAACUUCUUAUCAUUUCGUAUUUGUUUUCGACCUCUUUAGUAUUCUUUACUUCUGCCCUCUUUUUUUUAUUUGUGCUCUUGAAUACUAGAUGCUUCCCUUUUUUGUUCCGAGUAAUAAUCCAACUUAAUACCCAAGGGUGUGGUCGAGUGGUCAAUGAAGUAGGUUGAGAACUCUGAGGUCUCUGGUGUUCAAACUCUAGCGGAGACAAAAAAAAAAACACUAGGAGAUUUGUUUUCAUUUGUCCUAGCCUUGGGGGAGAAAGGUGAUAGAUAUCUCUUGUCGAGAUGUGCUCAAAGUCCGUCCCCAACUCCACGGUUAUUAGAAAAAAGGAAGACUAUUUCAACUCAUUAUUAUUUACCAAAUGAAGUAUGACUUUUGUGCAAUGCUUAUUUCUUGAUCCAGAAGUAUUUGACAAGGUCUAGUUGCUCUGAAUAGACCAAGUAAGAAACUAUUGGUUUGUUGGCAUAACCGUUUGAUCGUAGAUGGAAACGACUUCACCUUGAGCAUUUUCGGAUAAAAGGGACUGAGGUUGUUUCAGUCUAAUGUAACCUAUGCAACUAAGGUUUUGGUAACUUUAGCAACAACCCCUUUUUGUCAAGGACAUUUGAUCAAUCUUUAUAGCUGUAAGAGCACUUGGAACAACUUACUCUUGGCAACCCCACCAUGAAAGAAGUGGAAGUCUUUCGAAAAAAUGGGUCAUUGGAUGAUGCUCCCCCAUCAUUGUGAAAAAGUUGUGAGAGGACCCAAAGUUGAAGAAUACUGUCGGCAUGAAGCAACACAAGAGAGAGAUGCUUGAUAACGACAUGGCAACGAAGAUUGACUAAUUUUGCUGGUUACCAGAUGACUUUCAUUGAUGAAAAAACAUCAUUACCAGGUAAUAGUUCAAAUUUUUGAUCCGUUUUUCACCGUUGUUUUUACUUUCAAAUGAUGCAUUCAUCAUAAUUUGGAUAUAGUCUAAAGUAAUCUUUAUAUUCUUAGAAUUUGAUUUAACUUGACACCUCCCACAUUUUUUCAUUUGACUUCACUUUUACCAAUUGUAUUCAUGAACAGUGAAAGAACCAUAUACUCCAUGCUUGAUAUGUGACAUUUACUUGCUUUCCAUCUAUAGUGUAAAGGCACUACAACCACAACAAUAUACCAAGUGUAGUCGCACACAGUGGGGUCUAAGGAGGGUAGAGUGUACGCAGACCUUGAGGUUGAGAGGUUGUUUCCUAUAGAACCCUGACUCAUAGUUCUUGGAAAGCUCUCGUUUUUCAAACAAUCUUCAUUUCUUGAAAAGUGGUGGCAUGUUUCAAUGCCAUCUUUCAUGAAACCAGGCUCUUAUUUUCCGAUACCUACGUUUGGUAUUAUGUUAUUCUAUAUUGAAUAUGGGAUUAUAAUCUCGAAUUAACCUGGUCCAUAACGAUGUAUAGAUUACGAUUAAGCUACCAAAAAGAGAUUCUAUGACCACAUAAUUAACUGUUGUUAACACUUUUUAUGGUGUUUUUAUGGAACUUAUCUUCUUUA